rnacentral:rRNA from 1 species
GUAGACCCGAAGCCGGGCGACCUACCCAUGAGCAGGAUGAAGCGAAAGUAAAAUUUCGUGGAGGUCCGAACCCACGAGCGUUGAACAGCUCGGGGAUGACUUGUGGGUAGCGGUGAAAUUCCAAUCGGGCCCGGAGAUAGCUGGUUCUCCCCGAAAUAGCUUUAGGGCUAGCCUCAAGGUGAGAGAUACGGAGGUAGAGCACUGAAUGUCCUA